UAAAUAAAUACUUUUAAACAAAAGAAAUAUUAAUUGAAGGGAAAAAAUGGUAGUUGAGGGAUGGUGUGUAGAUUGUUUGGCUGUUUUUUUUUUCUUCUUCUUCUUUUAGUGGUCAUUCGUGGCUGUGGAUGGGUUUUGUAACCGGUCUAUAAUAAUUCUAAGCAGCAGUUUGAAAGUUGAAAAA
rnacentral:ribozyme from 13 species